rnacentral:lncRNA from 1 species
GUCCAAAGUAAGGACAAUUUUUCCCAAGUGAUUGAGUGGAGCAGCAAAUGCCUGUGAAAAUAGUAGAUAUAAAAAUAUCAGCAAGAGCCAAAAUUACUAGACUGUUUCUGAAAAUAUUCCGAAAGAAUGUUUAGAAAGCAUCUUUUUCCAGGUAGACAGAGAGUUUGUGAGGCUGCAUCACUGGCGUCAUUUUAUCAUCACCAUCCCGCUCAGGAGCUCAAGAAGAGGGGAACUGAGUCAGUUAGAAUUACAGAGCUUUCUCAUAAUGAAUAUUUGCUUAUAAUUUGUUGUAAGGGUGAUAAUAAUUUCAGUUGGAGCCUCACUGGUAACCUUGCUCAGCCACAUGACUGGAAUGUAAGAGGCUGGGGCAUUUUGGACAGCACAGAUGUUAAAUGUGAACACUACCUUUUCAGUAGCACAAAUCUGACUACAUCUUUAAGUCUCCAAGAUUUUCUGAUGUGAAGUCACAGUGGAAAUGGAACUGCUGAUUAGGGAAGGCACAGAAUAAUUUUGAGAGGAACAUGAGGACAUGAGCAAUAGAGGAAACCUGGAGGAAGAGGGUGUGGCAUGUUGAAAUUUAAAAAGAAGCAAUGUGUAUUUGCAAGUCAAACCAAUAUAAUAAAA